rnacentral:lncRNA from 1 species
AUGGUUGUUAGGAUACUUAAAAUGAACUUCAAAUAUAGGGCUAAUGUCCAAUAAAAGUAAAAUCGGAAUCCAACUUGAAGGUUUUGUUGACUCAGAUUUUGCUGGUAAUUGUGACAAUAGAAAAUCUACAUUUGCAUAUGUGUUUAAUUAAAUGAUACAUGCAUUAAUUGGAAAUCUCAACUGCAAAAAAUAGUUGCUCUGUCUUCAACAGAGGCUGAGUAUAUUUCAGCCACAGAUGCUAUGAAGGAAGGUAUUUGGUUGAAAAAUCCAUUGGAUGAAAUUGACUUUACUAGUAAUAAUGUUACCGUGUAUUUUGAUAGCCAAUCUGCCAUACAUCUAACUAGAAAUCCUAUCUUCCAUGAUAGGACUACAUGUAUAGAUGUUAAAUUUCAUUUUGUAAGAGCUAUUAUAGAAAAUGAGAUCAUAAAGAUUGAAAAGGUUUCAACUAAAUGUAAUCUAGGAGAUACGGGAACAAAAGUACUUCCUUUGCAUAAAUUUAGGGAUUGUUUGAAUCUCCUACAUAUUAUUACUGACUAAGGUCAUUUUUGCAGGUACAUAGAGUAUAUGAAACCAUAAGGAGGAGUUAACCUCUAAUCCACAUGAAACCCAAAGAUGUCAAGUAAGAUGGACAUUUUUAUAUAUGUGCUUAGCACCUAAGUUUUUGGCCCAAUGAUGUAGCCCAAUUACUUAAAUGUUUGGCCCAUGAUCGGGGAAUGUGACCCGGUUUGGCCCCUUUGUGUAUAUUCCCACAUUACUUAAAAUGCGUCUUUAGUGGAUGGCUAAGAUGGUGACACCCGUUGCUAGCUAAAACAUUGGAUGCAUUGUGACUUUUUAUAUUCCCAAUCUCUCUUUCAUUUGUGAGGUUUCGAGAUUAUUCUAGUGUUUAGACUCUCUUUUAUCCAUGAACUUUCUCUCAGAAAACUCUUGGUUUUCAUUUGUAAUCUUGCGAGGUCUGGAUAUUCUUGGUGAUGUCUACUGUAGAUUACGGUAUGGUUUUGUGGUUUUCUUGUUUUUUGGUGAAAAGUAGCCCUUGGUUGCUUUGUGUAAUCAGUAAAAGAGAGAAAAAGUGAGAGUUUGAGGCUGAGUGCUUGGAGUCCUAUGUUCUUGAGUCUCUAAUACUUGUAUAUUAACAUAUUUUGCUGGAUUCUAGUGUAUUAGAGCGAUAACCACUUAGGUAGAUGUUCAAUGUGGUGAUUAGCCCAUCUUUGGGUAAAAAUCCUGGCCUACGGGCGAAAAAUCUUUUGUGUUCUUAGAUUUGAUUUGUUCGAUUUUUAUUUGGG